GCAAGAUGCGAGCGAGUGGACAUCUUCUACCUGAGAGGAGAUCAAGGCCAGAUUGCAGUGAUUUGCUUGAUCGUUGCCAUGGUGGCGCUGAUCGGCCUGAUAAUAUGCAUCUGCACGUGCAGUCAUCACUGUCGGAAGCGCCGCAGGAGGAGAAAGGAAGAAGAAAUGGAAACGCUAGAGAAAGAGUUGCCUACCAAACAGGAGGAUGUCCUAGAGACGGACAUUGCAUGAAGGUUACUGAAGGCACCUGCAGGCAGGUUCCAAACAGCACAAUGUCUUGCUCUAUUGGAGAGGGACACAGAAGGGCUAUUGCCCGGAUAAUAAAGGCAGAUGAAUAACAGG